rnacentral:miRNA from 1 species
GGAUCGGGUCCGGGUCCGGGUGCAGGAUCGGGUCAGGGUCCGGGUCCUGGAUCUGGUCCUGGUCCGGGUCCAGG